rnacentral:RNase_P_RNA from 1 species
GCUAAGCCCAAUAAGCUUAGGGGCCGUGUAAACGGCUACGGCGGCCAAACGCGCUAAGGCGUCAGCUAUGCGCUAGUAGGUCUGAAAAGUGCCACAGUGACGAAACGAUCAGGGAAACCUGAGCGGUGGAACGGGUAAACCCCGCGAGCGAGUAACCCAAACUUUUGGUAGGGGCGUUUUGCCAAGCAAAUUGAAGCGACGGCAAUACA